rnacentral:rRNA from 1 species
ACGGAGAGUUUGAUCCUGGCUCAGGAUGAACGCUGGCGGCGUGCUUAACACAUGCAAGUCGAACGAACCUUCGGGUUAGUGGCGGACGGGUGAGUAACGCGUGAGAAUCUGCCCUCAGGAGGGGGAUAACGGUUGGAAACGACCGCUAAUACCCCAUAUGCCGCGAGGUGAAAUGAAUUUCGCCUGAGGAUGAGCUCGCGUCUGAUUAGCUAGUUGGUGUAGGUAAUGGCUCACCAAGGCAUCGAUCAGUAGCUGGUCUGAGAGGAUGAUCAGCCACACUGGGACUGAGACACGGCCCAGACUCCUACGGGAGGCAGCAGUGGGGAAUUUUCCGCAAUGGGCGAAAGCCUGACGGAGCAACGCCGCGUGAGGGAUGAAGGCCUCUGGGCUGUAAACCUCUUUUAUCAAGGAAGAAGAUCUGACGGUACUUGAUGAAUAAGCCACGGCUAAUUCCGUGCCAGCAGCCGCGGUAAUACGGGAGUGGCAAGCGUUAUCCGGAAUUAUUGGGCGUAAAGCGUCCGCAGGCGGCCCUUCAAGUCUGCUGUUAAAGCGUGGAGCUUAACUCCAUCAUGGCAGUGGAAACUGUUGGGCUUGAGUGUGGUAGGGGCAGAGGGAAUUCCCGGUGUAGCGGUGAAAUGCGUAGAUAUCGGGAAGAACACCAGUGGCGAAGGCGCUCUGCUGGGCCAUCACUGACGCUCAUGGACGAAAGCCAGGGGAGCGAAAGGGAUUAGAUACCCCUGUAGUCCUGGCCGUAAACGAUGAACACUAGGUGUCGGGGGAAUCGACCCCCUCGGUGUCGUAGCCAACGCGUUAAGUGUUCCGCCUGGGGAGUACGCACGCAAGUGUGAAACUCAAAGGAAUUGACGGGGGCCCGCACAAGCGGUGGAGUAUGUGGUUUAAUUCGAUGCAACGCGAAGAACCUUACCAGGGUUUGACAUCCUGCGAAUCUCUUGGAAACGAGAGAGUGCCUUCGGGAACGCAGUGACAGGUGGUGCAUGGCUGUCGUCAGCUCGUGUCGUGAGAUGUUGGGUUAAGUCCCGCAACGAGCGCAACCCACGUCUUUAGUUGCCAGCAUUCAGUUGGGCACUCUAGAGAGACCGCCGGUGAUAAACCGGAGGAAGGUGUGGAUGACGUCAAGUCAUCAUGCCCCUUACAUCCUGGGCUACACACGUACUACAAUGCUACGGACAAAGGGCAGCAAGUUCGCGAGGACAAGCAAAUCCCAUAAACCGUGGCUCAGUUCAGAUCGUAGGCUGCAACUCGCCUACGUGAAGGAGGAAUCGCUAGUAAUCGCAGGUCAGCAUACUGCGGUGAAUACGUUCCCGGGCCUUGUACACACCGCCCGUCACACCAUGGAAGUUGGCCACGCCCGAAGCCGUUACUCCAACCCUUGUGGAGGAGGACGUCGAAGGUGGGGCUGAUGACUGGGGUGAAGUCGUAACAAGGUAUCCGUACCGGAAGGUGCGGAUGGAUCACCUCCUAAC